UUCCAGACUCCUACGGGAGGCAGCAGUGGGGAAUAUUGCACAAUGGGGGAAGCCCUGAUGCAGCGACGCCGCGUGAGUGAAGAAGUAUUUCGGUAUGUAAAGCUCUAUCAGCAGGGAAGAUAAUGACGGUACCUGAGUAAGAAGCCCCGGCUAACUACGUGCCAGCAGCCGCGGUAAUACGUAGGGGGCAAGCGUUAUCCGGAUUUACUGGGUGUAAAGGGAGCGUAGACGGCAUGGCAAGUCUGAAGUGAAAGCCCGGGGCUCAACCGCGGGACUGCUUUGGAAACUGUUAAGCUGGAGUGCAGGAGAGGUAAGUGGAAUUCCUAGUGUAGCGGUGAAAUGCGUAGAUAUUAGGAGGAACACCAGUGGCGAAGGCGGCUUACUGGACUGUAACUGACGUUGAGGCUCGAAAGCGUGGGGAGCAAACAGGAUUAGAUACCCGAGUA
rnacentral:rRNA from 1 species